UCAUUGCCAAAGGAGAGAACUUUCUGACUGCCGGGGUAUUUACCAUCUGUAUUGAUACCCAUGCUGUGAUCGAAUUCACCACACGGUGCCAGGCAUUCAAGUUGAUGCUCUUUACACACUUCGCCUUUACUAUUGAAUACCGCAAGGAGGUCAGCCUAACCGUGGUGUUCACACAAAGGGCAGCCGCAGCAGUCAACCCUAACAGAGGGAGCAAGGUCGAGAAGUCAAGGAAGGAGCGCUGCCUCACACCACAAAUGACCAACUUAAUCAAAGCUCUGUGGGACUAUGAAUGCUAAGUGCUACAACGAAAAAUUUGCAGUGUCAUUAUGAAUAUACCGUAUUUACUCGAAUCUAAGCCGAUGUUUUUUUUUUCAGAAACACGAUGUGCGAAAGUGUGGGGGAAGGGGGCGUCUUAGAUUCGAGUACAAUGAUUAAGUUUUUUUUUUCUGGCCUUGCGAAUUUCGCGGGUCGGCUUAUAAUCAGGUACGGCCUAGAUUUGAGUAAAUACGGUAUAUCUACACAAUUUCCAAAA